CAGUCGCCGCGGUAAUACGAGGGGUGCAAGCGUUAUUCGGAUUGAUUGGGUGUAAAGGGUGUGCAGACGGCUUAUUAAGUCACUUGUUAAAUUCUUCGGCCUAACUGAAGGUCUGCAAGUGAUACUGAUGAGCUAGAGGGUGGCAGAGAGAAGUGGAAUUCUCGGAGUAGCGGUAAAAUGCGUAGAUCUCGAGAGGAACACCAAUGGCGAAGGCAGCUUCUUGGUCCAUUCCUGACGUUCAUACACGAAAGCGUGGGGAGCGAACAGGAUUAGAUACCCCCGUAGUCCCUGUCUCUUAUAC
rnacentral:rRNA from 1 species